GCGGGUCCUGCAGGCGGUAGCCAGAGCUGCGCGCCGCGGCGGCGGAAGAUGGCUGCGGCCGAGGUGGCGGACACUCAGCUGAUGCUUGGAGUCGGGCUGAUCGCUCUCACCAAGGACCGAGGGGCCUUGGGAAACGUCUGACGCCCACUUCACGGAGGAACAAAUGGAGGCCCAGGCCGUCAUUGUGCACGGACACACCAUAGGCAGUACAGAGCCGGGAGUGGGACCCUCGCAGUGUAGCCCAGAGCCCCCAACCCCCACCAGUGGAGAGCUCCUGCAUCAUGUGAUCGAGCUUGUGCAUAAAUAAAGCAGGAGUUUCUACACAAUCCUGUGUGGUGGAAUCUCGGUUAGCUCUGAGGAAUACGGGGUCUCCCUCUUAUCCAGGCUGGAGUGCAGUAGCUCAAUCACCGCUCUCUGCAGCCUCCACCUCCCAGGCCCAAACCGUCCUCCCGCCUCGGCCUCCGAGUAGCUGGGACCUCAGGCGUGCACCACCACCCGAUUAAUUUUUGUAUUUUUUGUGGAGAUGGGAUACCGACAUGUUGUCCAGAAAAGGACACAAAUGGAGAAGUUCUGUGGGUGUGGUGUUAUCCUUCCACGACAGCCACAUUAAGGAACCUGCUGCUGAGAAAAUGCUGCCUUACAGAUGAAAACAAACUUCUCCAUCCCUUUGUCUUUGGUCAGUACAGAAGAACAUGGUUUUAUAUCACAACAAUUGAAGUUCCAGAUUCUUCCAUUUUGAAAAAGGUGACUCAUUUUUCUAUUGUCCUGACCGCCAAAGAUUUUAACCCAGAGAAGUAUGCUGCCUUCACUAGGAUAUUGUGUAG
rnacentral:sRNA from 1 species